AGCCGUUAAGUAAAUGAAGAGGCAACUAACAAUGUCAGAAAAGAGACCGGGCGGUUCCGGCUGACACUACCCUAAUCUUCCAGGACCCAUUAAAUGGUAGUUUCAACGCAUUACCUACCAUAACAUCCUUGAAUAUCACUGAUUUUAUUUGCAGUAUCAAACAUUCCAUUUCAUGCCCCAUUAACAGUGGGAGCCUGGGCUUUUUGACGCAGCUAAACAUUUUACUAACUACCUGGACUAAGUAACCAAUUAACUUUUGGAGACAAUACGGCCAAUUAAGCGCGAAAAGAAAAUUUGGAAAACAGGCUUUUCCUAUCCGGAUGAACAGAGAUAAUUUGUGUCGAUGGAUGUUCUGUGAAGGCCUAUUGUGUCGAGCAGCGUAUUAAAACAUAAACAUGGCUCUUCCCCCAAGAAACUUACAUUUCAGUAAGGGAGCCUGGCCAAAAUGGAAAACUGCAAGGUUCAAAUCCUGGAGUGCAGAAGAAGCAUUAGGCAUUGACCCUGUGGCUUCCUAAUAGAUCCGCAAAGUGCUUUGUUCCUGGAAAUCAUCCGAUGAGUAGUUCAGUGCUAUUGUAUAUCUUGUUAGAGCAGCCGAAGUGCCACAAAAUGAACUAAAAUCUCCCUGCAGAGUUGCUGUAUCAUAUGCUGAGAACAUUCGGAACUUUCAACAAAUUCAUGUUACGAUCCUGGGUAGCCAUGGUUAAAUCUGUACAGGGGUUAAAUGAGAAAUAUGAGCCUGCUGUUAAGUGUCUUCUGAGAGUGACAAAGCUCUGGCCAUAAGGGAUGGGAGAGGAGGGAUUUCUUCUCAGCCUUCCAGCCCUUUCCAGCUGUAUCACAGACAGGAGACAUAAUGCAAAGGGGCUCAGACAUUGACUUCCUGGAUCUUUGCGGCCCCAGGCAUUGACCCCCUCUACCUGGCUUUUCCUACGCUGUAAAAUGAGGAUCCUCCUAUAUUAUGGAGUUUAUUGUGACAACUAAAUAGCUGAGAAGAAGGACAUCUCAUUUGUUUUAACUAUGCAGUUUCCUGUCUAUCUAUCUAUCUAUCCCAUCAAUCUAUCAAUCAAUCUAUCAAUCUGUCUAUCCCUAUCUAUCUAUCCAUCUAUCUAUCUAUAUCUGUCUAUAUCUAUCUAACAUUUAUCUAUCAUCUAUUCAUCUAUCAGCUAUCUUCUGUCUAUCAAUAUUUCAAUCAAUCUCUCUAUCCCUAUCAAUUAAUCUAUCUACCUACCUAUCAACUAUCCAUCUAUCUCUAUCAUCUAUCAUCUAUUCAUCUAUCAUUUAUCAUCUGUCAAUCCAUCUUCCUACUAUCUAUCAAAAGCAACACAUUUUCUUCCUGACUUUAAAAAUAUUUAAGUGGGCCGGGAGGAUGGCUCACGCCUGUAAUCCCAGCACUUUGGGAGGCCUAGGCGGGCGGAUCACGAGGUCAGGAGAUGGAGACCAUCCUGGCUAACAUGGUGAAACCCCGUCUCUACUAAAAAUACAAAAAAAAAAAAAAAUUAACCAGGCGUGGUGGAGGGCGCCUGUAGUCCCAGCUACUCGGGAGACUGAGGCAGGAGAAUGGGGAGAACCCGGGAGGCGGAGCUUGCAGUGAGCCGAGAUCAUGCCACUGCACUCCAGCCUGGGCGACAGAGCAAGACUCCAUCUCAAAAGAAACAAAAACAAAAACGUAAGUGAUACUCUGUCCACUCUUUUGAUUGAGGAGGUCUGAUUUUCAGGCUUUGGAUUUUAUUAUGUCUUCAAUAUAAUAAUUGUUCCAUGUAUCUCUCCUAAAUUGCCAUUUGAAAAACUGCUUUUCUGAAGUUUAAAGUGCACAUUUUGAUACAUCUUGACACAUAUAUACACCCAUGAAAUCAUCACCACAAUCAGGAUAGUAGAUCUAUCCAUUACCGCCAAGGUUUACUUGCACUCCUUUGAACUUUCUCCCCACUCCUCACCCCCUGCCUAUCCCCAAUCCUUAAGCAAUCACUGAUUUGCUUUCUGUCACUAUCAGUUAAUUUGAAUUUUUCAGAAAUGUAUAUAAAUAAAAUCAUUCGACGUGUAUGCUCUUUUUCUGUUCACCCGGUACAAUUUGAGAUUUAGCCAUGUUUUUGCAUGUGUCAAUAGUUUAUUUUUUUGUUGCUCAGUACUAAUCCAUUUUAUGGAUACAGAGAAAUGUAUUAAUGCAAUCCCAUAUUAAUAGGCAUUUGGGUUGUUUCCAGGUUUGGGCUGUUACAAAUAAAGCUGCUAUGAAC
rnacentral:lncRNA from 1 species